rnacentral:lncRNA from 1 species
AGCAUUAGGGGAGCCCACGGCUACAAAAACAAGUGAGUGAGAAGAGGUGGGAGGAAGAGAAACUACGCCACCUCCCCUGCAGCCGAGUGCACGCAGCAGCCUGGCGUGACAAGUGGGCGACGCCGGGGGGCAGGGAGCCGGGGUCCUUGGCCCUGGCCGGGGACCCCACCGCCCACCGCGCGGAGGACAACUUUUAGCCGGCAGCCCAGACCAGCGCGGCACCUGUCUCCGGAGUCUCCACCGCUCCUCCCGAUUCAUCCCAGGGAAAUUCUCAAGAAUACGCUCUACAAAUCUACGUGCGCAUCAUUUUCACCUCGCGUCGCGCCCGGGAGGAAGGAACGAGGCAAGGAGCUAAAGCAGCGUGCGUUCAGCCCUGGGGAGGAAAAUGGAAGAAACGGAGAUACUUUUAGUGAAGCAGAAUAAACCACUGAACAGGAAAAAUGAGGAAGCUGUGAGUACCAGUGGAAGGAACGAGCCAGGAAGAGGGACUGGAACCAUCUCAGAAGCCAUGCCCCUCAGGCUGGAACUUGCCCUGUCUCCUCGCAGAUGAGGUAGGAGGCUCAGCACGGGCUGGUGGGAGCAGCCCACAGCAGCAGUGAGGGUCAGUGGGCCUGUGAGUUAAGAAGAAGGUGGCACAGAGCGAGGGUCUCUGGAUCCUGACUGUUUGACUUUUCCAUGAUUAGGAUAAGUAGCCAGGGCUUGGCUAGUUGGAGAGUUACUCGAACCUCAGGUGACAGUUGUAAGGCAGCACAUAGUGAAAAAGAGUCCUAGCCUGGGAAAGUCCAAAACCUUAGGUCUGGUUUCAGUUCACUCACCUAUCUCUGUGACAUAGCAAAGUCUGUUAAUUUCUCUAAUUUUCUGAUUAGUAGUAUAGUUGCAGGAAUGAAAUAAAAAUGGUCCUGAUUACUCAGAGAUUCAUUUACUGAUUACUCUUUUUGUGACCUGAAUAAAGAGUACAACAUCUCUCAAAAGGUAACAAUAUGAUGUUUCAGGAAAUUAGAGAAGUUAAGAGACUUUGCUGUAUUUACUAUACAGAUAGUUGACUGACAGCUGAGCCCGGACCCAAGAUUCAUUUAUAAAAUGAAGGAGUUGAGAAGUACAUACUCUGAGGUUUAUCCUAAAUAAACUGAAGUCUAGGCAAGUGGCUGAGCUAGGUUUGCCAUGAAUCAAUCUGCUGAGUAUAUUUCUUGGUAACUAGUUCAUCUUUCCUUAAUUCAGUCAACAAAUAUGAUAUCAAGUUUAGUAAGAUGAUGACAGUUGUCAUGUAAUACUCCAUCUGGAAGAUUGUAUGCUUCUCAGCUUCCCUAACUUUUCUUAAUCUACCUUAAGCUUCCUUUCUGAAAGGUUUCUGUCUUUCCUAACAGUCUCUUCUUUCCGCCAGCUACCUCUUGUGUUUAAGAAUUAAAGGAAGAUGAGCUAGGAAUCAAGAAAUACGCAGAACUGAUUCCUGUCACUGGCGCCACCCUGCCACUUGCCCAGAGCUGUGGUAUAAAUUUUUUUAAUAGGCUGAAAUAAAAAUAUGAAUAGCAUUUUGGUAUUAAGCAUUAAAUUGAUAAAGGCUAUGAGAUACACCUGCUCUCAACCAUGUUAAUUUUUUAUUAUUGGUAUUAAUAAAUUAUUACUUACUAACAUAUUAACAAGAAUUGCAUUGAGAAACAAAGCAUCCACAGGCCAAAUCUUCUGAAUUUCAAAUGUUUAUAUUAAUGCGUUGUAUUCUAGAAAAGUAGAAUUGUCUUAAGUAGCUUUGUAAUAUAAAGUCAUCUAUCAGCCCAUUACACCUAUUAGAAUGUUUUAACCUUUAUUUCCCACUUUUUUGUUUCUAGACUGAGUGUACUUGGUCUGGUAUUUGUGGCAUAACUUACGGAACACAUAAGAAUGAUACAGAUACUAUUUAAUGAUGACCUAAUACAAGCUUAGAUAGCUAAGGUGAAAGCUUCUAUGGCCUUAACAUUUUCCUCUUGAAGAAUGUAUUUUCUGUAAUAAAAUACAGUGGCUACUUGAAAUCUAUAAACUUAUGUGAGGUCUGGAUAAAUCUGAGCAACUUUCUUCUUUGUGCUCCAGGAACCUACGCACUAUAUAUAUAAAUAAAGCUUAAGUAAACA